UACGUAGGGUCCGAGCGUUGUCCGGAAUUACUGGGCGUAAAGAGCUCGUAGGUGGUUUGUCGCGUUGUUCGUGAAAAACUCACAGCUCAACUGUGGGCGUGCGGGCGAUACGGGCAGACUAGAGUACUGCAGGGGAGACUGGAAUUCCUGGUGUAGCGGUGGAAUGCGCAGAUAUCAGGAGGGAACACCGGUGGCGAAGGCGGGCCUCUGGGCAGUAAACUGACGCU
rnacentral:rRNA from 1 species